GCCGAAGAUGAAGAGCUUUGUAUAUUCUGACACCUCUUGUAUGAGAUGGAUCUUUCAUUAAAGGUUUCAUCUUUGAGCACAGAAAGCAACUCUCUGAGUC
rfam:Glycine max cultivar Williams 82 chromosome 16, whole genome shotgun sequence.